rnacentral:rRNA from 1 species
GAUGAACGCUGGCGGCGUGCUUAACACAUGCCAGUCGAACGGAAAGGCCCUUGCUUGCAGGGGUACUCGAGUGGCGAACGGGUGAGUAACACGUGGGUGAUCUGCCCUGCACUUCGGGAUAAGCCUGGGAAACUGGGUCUACUACCGGAUAGGACCAUCGUUUAGUGUCGGUGGUGGAAAGUUUUUUCGGUGUGGGAUGAGCUCGCGGCCUAUCAGCUUGUUGGUGGGGUAAUGGCCUACCAAGGCGUCGACGGGUAGCCGGCCUGAGAGGGUGUACGGCCACAUUGGGACUGAGAUACGGCCCAGACUCCUACGGGAGGCAGCAGUGGGGAAUAUUGCACAAUGGGCGCAAGCCUGAUGCAGCGACGCCGCGUGGGGGAUGACGGCCUUCGGGUUGUAAACUCCUUUCGUCAGGGACGAAGCGAAAGUGACGGUACCUGGAUAAGAAGCACCGGCUAACUACGUG